rnacentral:rRNA from 1 species
GACGAACGCUGGCGGCGUGCUUAACACAUGCAAGUCGAACGGAAAGGCCCCUUUGGGGGUACUUGAGUGGCGAACGGGUGAGUAACAAGUGAGUAACUUGCCCUUGAUUUCGGGUUAACUUCAGGAAACUGGGGCUAAUACCGGAUAGGAAUCCUUUCUGCCUGGUGGGGGUUGGAAAGCUUCGGCGGUUUUGGAUGGACUCGCGGCUUAUCAGCUUGUUGGUGGGGUAGUGGCUUACCAAGGCUUUCACUGGUAGCUGGCCUGGGGGGGCGACCGGCCACAAUGGGACUGGGAUACGGCCCAGACUCCUACGGGAGGCAGCAGUGGGGAAUAUUGCACAAUGGGCGGGAGCCUGAUGCAGCAACGCCGCGGGCGGGAUGACGGCCUUCGGGUUGUAAACCGCUUUCAGCAGGGGCGAAGCUUGUGGUGACGGUACCUGCAGAAGAAGCACCGGCUAACUACGUG